AGCGAACGCUGGCGGCAGGCCUAACACAUGCAAGUCAAACGGAUCCUUCGGGAUUAGUGGCGGACGGGUGAGUAACACGUGGGAACGUGCCCUUUGGUUCGGAACAACUCAGGGAAACUUGAGCUAAUACCGGAUGUGCCCUUCGGGGGAAAGAUUUAUCGCCAUUGGAGCGGCCCGCGUCUGAUUAGCUAGUUGGUGAGGUAAAGGCUCACCAAGGCGACGAUCAGUAGCUGGUCUGAGAGGAUGAUCAGCCACAUUGGGACUGAGACACGGCCCAAACUCCUACGGGAGGCAGCAGUGGGGAAUCUUGCGCAAUGGGCGAAAGCCUGACGCAGCCAUGCCGCGUGAAUGAUGAAGGUCUUAGGAUUGUAAAAUUCUUUCACCGGGGACGAUAAUGACGGUACCCGGAGAAGAAGCCCCGGCUAACUUCGUGCCAGCCGCCGCAGUAAGAC
rnacentral:rRNA from 1 species